CGUUGAAAUACCGGUUCUCGUGCGAUCAACGAAGUUAAGCAACGUUGAGCCUGGUAAGUACCCAGAUAGGUGGCAGCUUUGGAAUUACAAGGUGCUGUAG